UACGAAGGACCCGAGCGUUAUCCGGAUUUAUUGGGUUUAAAGGGAGCGUAGGUGGCCUUAUAAGUCAGUGGUGAAAUCUCUGGGCUUAACCCAGAAAUUGCCAUUGAUACUGUAGGGCUUGAGUAUAGAUGCCGUUGGCGGAAUAUGACAUGUAGUGGUGAAAUACAUAGAGAUGUCAUAGAACACCGAUUGCGAAGGCAGCUAACGAAACUAUAACUGACACUGAGGCUCGAAAGUGUGGGGAUCAAACAGG
rnacentral:rRNA from 1 species